rfam:Varibaculum cambriense DORA_20 Q618_VCMC00001, whole genome shotgun sequence.
GGGGUCGAUCGGUUUCGACAGCUGAUAUUGGUUGCAGAGAAGCGUGCCGAGAAUGUGGAGUCAUCUCGCUAACGUCCUUCACAAAACAAUAAGUGCUAAACAUAACCGCACUGACUUCGCUCUAGCUGCUUAAGCAGAGCCUUUAAAAGUCCGUCAGCUCCGAGGGUGCUUCUACCUCGGUUCCUGGCGUCGUUUUUCAGGAGCCACUGGCUGCAGUUUUCGUCAAUGGGAUUGCAGCGACACUUUACAGUGACUGAGCCUAUAGAAUCUCUAGUUUGCCAAGUAGAUUCAGGCUGAGAAAAAGUUCAGGCAGACUGCGCACGGAGAAGAAUGCAGGAGUACCAGUUGGACCGGGGUUCGAUUCCCCGCGGCUCCACAA